rnacentral:rRNA from 1 species
AAGUGGUAGGAGAGCGUUCUAUUUGCGUCGAAGGUAUACCGGUAAGGAGUGCUGGAGCGAAUAGAAGUGAGCAUGCAGGCAUGAGUAGCGAUAAUUAAUGUGAGAAUCAUUAACGCCGUAAACCCAAGGUUUCCUACGCGAUGCUCGUCAUCGUAGGGUUAGUCGGGUCCUAAGUCGAGUCCGAAAGGGGUAGACGAUGGCAAAUUGGUUAAUAUUCCAAUACCAACAUUAGUGUGCGAUGGAAGGACGCUUAGGGCUAAGGGGGCUAGCGGAUGGAAGUGCUAGUCUAAGGUCGUAGGAGGUUAUACAGGCAAAUCCGUAUAACAAUACUCCGAGAACUGAAAGGCUUUUUGAAGUCUUCGGAUGGAUAGAAGAACCCCUGAUGCCGUCGAGCCAAGAAAAGUUUCUAAGUUUAGCUAAUGUUGCCCGUACCGUAAACCGACACAGGUGGGUGGGAUGAGUAUUCUAAGGCGCGUGGAAGAACUCUCUUUAAGGAACUCUGCAAAAUAGCACCGUAUCUUCGGUAUAAGGUGUGGUUAGCUUUGUAUUAGGAUUUACUCCGAAAGCAAGGAAACUUACAACAAAGAGUCCCUCCCGACUGUUUACCAAAAACACAGCACUCUGCUAACUCGUAAGAGGAUGUAUAGGGUGUGACGCCUGCCCGGUGCUCGAAGGUUAAUUGAUGGGGUUAGCAUUAGCGAAGCUCUUGAUCGAAGCCCGAGUAAACGGCGGCCGUAACUAUAACGGUCCUAAGGUAGCGAAAUUCCUUGUCGGUUAAAUACCGACCUGCAUGAAUGGCGUAACGAGAUGGGAGCUGUCUCAAAGAGGGAUCCAGUGAAAUUGUAGUGGAGGUGAAAAUUCCUCCUACCCGCGGCAAGACGGAAAGACCCCGUGGACCUUUACUACAGCUUGACACUGCUACUUGGAUAAGAAUGUGCAGGAUAGGUGGGAGGCUUUGAGUAUAUGACGCCAGUUGUAUAUGAGCCAUUGUUGAGAUACCACUCUUUCUUAUUUGGGUAGCUAACCAGCUUGAGUUAUCCUCAAGUGGGACAAUGUCUGGUGGGUAGUUUGACUGGGGCGGUCGCCUCCCAAAUAAUAACGGAGGCUUACAAAGGUUGGCUCAGAACGGUUGGAAAUCGUUCGUAGAGUAUAAAGGUAUAAGCCAGCUUAACUGCAAGACAUACAAGUCAAGCAGAGACGAAAGUCGGUCUUAGUGAUCCGGUGGUUCUGUGUGGAAGGGCCAUCGCUCAAAGGAUAAAAGGUACCCCGGGGAUAACAGGCUGAUCUCCCCCAAGAGCUCACAUCGACGGGGAGGUUUGGCACCUCGAUGUCGGCUCAUCGCAUCCUGGGGCUGGAGCAGGUCCCAAGGGUAUGGCUGUUCGCCAUUUAAAGCGGUACGCGAGCUGGGUUCAGAACGUCGUGAGACAGUUCGGUCCCUAUCUGCCGUGGGCGUAAGAAGAUUGAAGAGAUUUGACCCUAGUACGAGAGGACCGGGUUGAACAAACCACUGGUGUAGCUGUUGUUCUGCCAAGAGCAUCGCAGCGUAGCUAAGUUUGGAAAGGAUAAACGCUGAAAGCAUCUAAGCGUGAAGCCAACUCUAAGAUGAAUCUUCUCUAAGCUCUCUAGAAGACUACUAGUUUGAUAGGCUGGGUGUGUAAUGGAUGAAAGUCCUUUAGCUGACCAGUACUAAUAGAGCGUUUGGCUUAUCUUUAAUAAAGCAU